AGCGCAGACGGUUGAUUAAGUCUGAUGUGAAAGCCCGGAGCUCAACUCCGGAAUGGCAUUGGAAACUGGUUAACUUGAGUGUUGUAAAGGUAAGUGGAACUCCAUGUGUAGCGGUGGAAUGCGUAGAUAUAUGGAAGAACACCAGUGGCGAAGGCGGCUUACUGGACAACAACUGACGUUGAGGCUCGAAAGUGUGGGUAGCAAACA
rnacentral:rRNA from 1 species